UGAUAAUGUAUAUUUCGGUUAAAAAUUUAACAUCGAUGACUAUUAAAAUUGCACCUUUUUUACCUUGUAGUCGAACUGCAAGAGAAAUCUUGAGAAGAGUGUCAACUCUGAAAGUUGCCAGAGAAAAUCCUAAUUUUAAACUUAAUACUUUUAUGCUUGAAGAUCCUGCAGAAGUUUCACGAGUAGAUGUAGUCUUUGCCGAUGGAAAAACUUCUGUAUAUGAUUGUUCGGAAAUAAAAGCUAUAAAUAUUAUAACUGAGCUGAACAAAAGAAGCAAAGCAUUGGAUCUUAAACAUCUUUUAGAAUCGGCACGCAGAUAAUUUAAAAUUUUAUUGUGAAAU